rnacentral:lncRNA from 1 species
AGUUUUUGUGUUUUGGUCUGUUUUUCUAAUACUGUAUGCAAUAGGUCUACAAUAUAUAUUGGUGAAUGGAAUGAUUGUAAGGUGUAUAUGUCUAGCUGACAGGUGUCAUCUGACCUUGACCUCAUCUUCAUGGUUCAGUGGUCAAAGUUGAGUUUUUGAGUUUUGGUCUUUUUUUCUAAUAUACUGAGUGCCAAUGAAAACGCAACACUUUUGUUUUUGAAAAAAAUCUUAAAGUUUUUAUUUUAUUUAUAUUAGAACUUUAUAUAGUUGGUUGAAAAUGACUUUUAAGACAAUUGUCGACGAUUUUACGGUUGAGUGAUUUUGGGAACAAAUGCGAAGUAAGGGUUAUUUUGAACGGACAUUAACCGAGUUCACCGCUUUUCAACAUACGCACCAUUUUCACGAUUUUGUCAUUUAAAGCUUGGCUAAUGUCAUGAAUUUUCCCGCCCCUAUUGUUAAGAAACUGCAAUAAAACAUCUGAGUAAAUGCCAGGACUUUCUGACAACCAGCGACAUGCAGUUUUGGGCAUGAUCCAAUGAAGCCUUUCACAGCAUACAAUUACGAGAAGACUGAAGUUGUAGCGUCUACAAUAACACCAAUCAUCCACAAAUUCAACCAAAAUGGAUCAUUUAAUGAUAAGUCACAUCCCGGGGUACAAAAACGCAAAGAAACGCUCAGCAAGACCGAUACAUUUGGUCUUUAACAUAUCCGAUAUCGACUCUGAUGGCUGUCCAAAGGUCACGAGAGUUCAAUGGUGGUCACGGUAGAACCUUUGGAGCAGUUUCAGUAAAGCACCAUUUGCGCAGAAAUUGUUAAAGAGCACCACAGUCUUUCCUUAGUGUUAUCUGAACGGCCGUUUGGCGUAAACAUUGAGUUCUGUAGACCAAAAAUCAUGCAUUAUGUAUCAAAUAACCGUCAGUGGUGGUUACAUAGACAUUUAGCACCCGCCUUGGCCAAAAGUCAUGCUUUUCGUCGGAUUUUAGUCCGAUCGAGCAAAUUUGGCAUCAGAUUUGACAUGGUUUAGACGAUGAAAACCACCACCAAUAUCAUAAAGUCAGCUUGAGUUUUCUUUGCGGGACAAGUGGAGAAACAUUCCUCGGGAUUACAUUAAACGCCCGGGAUGAUCAAUUCCACGGCGUUGUCGAGAUUGCGCUGCACCACGGGGUUGGAACAUUUUUUGUUAUGACUGUGAGUUGAUGAUUCGACAUUGGAUGUUUCGUUUACCUAUUGCGCCUGAAAGAUGACAAGGAAACAUUUUUGUUUGAUAUCGAUCUAUUGUUAAAAUUGUUAAUUUUCAAGAACAAUUUAUUUUGAAAGAUUAUCAUUUCUAAUAUAAAUUUUAUUUUUGAAAAACAAAGUGUUGCGUUUUCAUUGGCACUCAG